CAGAUGUUUUCACGGGUGGAUGAGUUAGCUCCCACAUACAUAACCAAGGGCAGAGAUGGCAAUGUACCUAUGCUCCCUGUGGAUUGUGCUGCUGGUAUUUCUCCAAGGGGUCAGAGGCCAGGAUAAUCUGCUGCAGGACUCCAUGGUGGUCAGCAAAGAAGGCGAGACUGCUACCAUUACCUGCCAGUACAAUGUCAGAAACUUCUACAGUUUGCACUGGUACAAGCAAUACCAAGGAGACAGAGUUGAAUUUCUGUUGCAAUUAUUUCAGGAGAAACCUGAGAAGAAAGACAACUUCCAUGCUGAUCUGGAUAAAACCAAGCAGGAGAGUAACUUGAGCAUCAUGAAGGUUCAUUUCAGAGAUAUUGCCACCUACUUCUGUGCUGUGGAAGCACAAUGGCACAGACAUAUUUACAGCCCAUUCAAAAACUCUGCAAGAGAGCAAAGAAGGAAAAUCCAACAAGUCUUGAUAUUUUUCUUUCCUUUAUUGUUUAAUUCUUGA